rnacentral:rRNA from 1 species
UCCUACGGGAGGCUGCAGUGGGGAGUAUUGGACAAUGGGGGCAACCCUGAUCCAGCAAUGCCGCGUGGGUGAUGAAGGCCUUCGGGUUGUAAAGCCCUUUCGGCGGGGACGAUGAUGACGGUACCCGCAGAAGAAGCCCCGGCUAACUUCGUGCCAGCAGCCGCGGUAAUACGAAGGGGGCUAGCGUUGUUCGGAAUGACUGGGCGUAAAGGGCGCGUAGGCGGCUCUUUUAGUCAGGCGUGAAAGCCCUGGGCUCAACCUGGGAAUUGCGCUUGAUACUGGAGGGCUUGAGUGCGGGAGAGGAUGGUGGAAUUCCCAGUGUAGAGGUGAAAUUCGUAGAUAUUGGGAAGAACACCGGUGGCGAAGGCGGCCAUCUGGACCGUUACUGACGCUGAGGCGCGAAAGCGUGGGGAGCAAACAGGAUUAGAUACCCUAGUAGUCU